CUAUGAAGUAGCUGAGUGAGCCUAAUCCUCAAAUGUUGGUAGCCUUAUAUGAAGAACCAGAGAAACCUAACAGUGCUUUGGACUUUUUAAAGCAUCACUUAGGAGCUGCUACUCCAGAAAAUCCAGAAAUAGAGUUGCUUCGCCUAGAACUGGCCGAAAUAAAAGAGAAAUAUGAAGCUAUUGUAGAAGAAAAUAAAAAACUGAAAGCAAAGCUUGCUCAGUAUGAACCACCUCAGGAGGAGAAGCGUGCUGAAUAGGAUUCUUCUCAGUUGAAAAGACAAUGAAAAAUGGUUUUGUAUGACUUGAAUAGUUUGUAUAGUAUAUAAUCUUUUCUGAACAGA
rnacentral:sRNA from 1 species